rnacentral:lncRNA from 1 species
UCACAAUACCUGUUUGCCUUUGAAGAGCCAGAUAGUGGAUCUCAACUAACAUGGAAUGUAUUACCCCAAGGUUUUAGAGACAGCCCUCAUUUGUUUGGCCAAACCCUAGCUAAGAAUUUAACAGAGUUCAGAGAUAAGACAUCUCUGACUGUCCUACAAUAUGUAGAUGACAUACUUUUGUGUGCCUCUGCUAAAAAAGAAUGUCAAAAGGCUACUAAAGAGUUUUAAACUUCUUAGCUGAUAAGGGUUAUAAAGUCUCAAAGAAAAAAGCUCAAUUAUGCCAAGAACAAGUUCAAUAUUUAGGAUUACAGCUGUCUCAAGGAACUCACAAGCUAGGACCAGAAAGAAUAACCCCUAUAGGACAAUAUCCUCUACCUCAAACCAUAAGACAACUUAGAGGCUUCCUAGGGAUAACUGGAUAUUGUAGGCUUUGGAUCCCUGGAUAUGGGGAAAUAGCUAAACCUCUCCAUGGCCUCCUCAAAGAGACACUAUGCCAAGGAACAACUUCCCUCAUAGGGGAACCAGAACAGAUUAAAGCCUUUAAGGCAUUGAAAGGGGCCUUACUCCAAGCCCCUGCCCUCAGCUUACCCACUGAACAAAAAUUCAACAUAUUUGUUACUGAAAGAAGAGGAAUAGCCCUAGGAGUGUUCACACAAAAGAAAGAACCAGUUCAACAGCCAGUAGCUUAUCUCAGUAAGGAGCUUGAUCUAGUGUCUCCAGGAUGGCCUCAUUGUUUGAGCGUAGUAGCAGCUGUGGCCUUGCUAGUCCCUGAGGCAAUUAAAAUCACCCUGGGAAGAGACCUUAUAGUCUACACCUCCCAUGAUCUCUCAGGAAUUUUAAAUAUAAAAGGUGAACUAUGGCUCUCAGACAAUCGCCUUCUAAAAUAUCAAACCCUACUUUUAGAAGGACCUGUAACUCAAAUAAGGACUUGUUAUAAUUUAAACCCAGCUACCUUCCUCCCAGAGAAAUUAGAGGGAAAUCCUGAACAUGACUGCCAACAUGUCCUAGCUAUAAAUUACUCAGCUUGGAAGUACCUUCAAAACCUUCCCCUAUACAAUCCAGACCUCACCAUGUUCACAGAUGGGAGUUCCUUUAUGGAACAAGGAGAACGCAAAGCUGGAUAUGCCGUGGUGACCUUACAUGACACCAUAGAGGCACAAUCUUUGCUCCCAGGCACAAGCUCACAACUAGCUGAAUUGAUAGCCCUAAUGAGAGCACUGGAAAUAGGGAAACAACAGAGAAUUAAUAUUUAUACUGAUCCUAAAUACGCCUACCUAAUCCUGC